CAAAUAGCUCAGUUGGUUAGAGUGUGGGGCUUAUAACACCGAGUUUGCAGGUUUGAGCCCCAUAAGGGGCAGGU